UGGUUCCUGUGGGACGCGGUGGUGGCCUUUGGGUCGGAAAAGUGAGCGAUAUUCUCCUCUUUUUCCUUGUUUUUCUCCUAGUUUUUCUUGGUCGGUAGAGCGCAGGUAUGGGUCGCAAGAAGAAGAAGCAGCUGAAGCCGUGGUGCUGGUAUUGUAAUAGAGAUUUUGAUGAUGAGAAGAUCCUUAUACAGCACCAAAAAGCAAAGCAUUUUAAAUGCCAUAUAUGUCAUAAGAAAUUGUAUACAGGACCUGGCUUAGCUAUUCAUUGCAUGCAGGUACAUAAAGAGACAAUAGAUGCUGUACCCAAUGCAAUACCUGGGAGAACAGACAUAGAGUUGGAAAUAUAUGGUAUGGAAGGUAUUCCAGAGAAAGACAUGGAUGAAAGGAGACGACUUCUUGAACAGAAGACACAAGAAAGUCAAAAAAAGAAGCAACAAGAUGAUUCUGAUGAGUAUGAUGAUGAUGAUUCUGCAGCCUCAACUUCAUUUCAACCACAGCCUGUUCAACCUCAGCAAGGUUAUAUUCCCCCAAUGGCGCAGCAGGACUGCCACCAGUUCCAGGAGCACCAGGAAUGCCUCCAGGCAUACCUCCAUUGAUGCCAGGUGUUCCUCCUCUGAUGCCAGGAAUGCCACCAGUUAUGCCAGGCAUGCCACCUGGAUUGCAUCAUCAGAGAAAAUACACCCAGUCAUUUUGCGGUGAAAACAUAAUGAUGCCAAUGGGUGGAAUGAUGCCACCUGGACCAGGAAUACCACCUCUGAUGCCUGGGAUGCCACCAGGUAUGCCUCCCCCUGUUCCACGUCCUGGAAUCCCUCCAAUGACCCAAGCGCAGGCUGUUUCAGCGCCAGGUAUUCUUAAUAGACCACCUGCACCGACAGCAACCGUACCUGCGCCACAGCCUCCUGUUACUAAGCCUCUUUUCCCUAGUGCUGGACAGAUGGGGACACCUGUAACAAGCUCAAGUACAGCUUCAUCCAAUUCAGAAAGUCUGUCUGCAUCUUCUAAAGCUCUGUUUCCUAGCACAGCACAAGCUCAGGCAGCUGUCCAAGGACCUGUUGGUACAGAUUUCAAGCCUUUAAAUAGUACCCCUGCAACAACUACAGAACCCCCAAAGCCUACGUUCCCUGCUUAUACUCAGGCUACAGCUUCAACCACUAGUACAACAAAUAGUACUGCAGCUAAACCAGCAGCUUCAAUAACAAGUAAGCCUGCUACACUAACGACAACUAGUGCAACCAGUAAGUUGAUCCAUCCAGAUGAGGAUAUAUCACUGGAAGAAAGAAGGGCACAGUUACCUAAAUAUCAACGUAAUCUUCCUCGACCAGGACAGGCCCUCAUUGGUAAUCCUCCAGUUGGACCAAUUGGAGGUAUGAUGCCACCACAACCAGGCAUCCCACAGCAACAAGGAAUGAGACCACCAAUGCCACCUCAUGGUCAGUAUGGUGGUCAUCAUCAAGGCAUGCCAGGUUACCUUCCUGGUGCUAUGCCGCCAUAUGGGCAGGGACCGCCAAUGGUACCCCCUUACCAAGGUGGGCUGCCUCGACCUCCGAUGGGAAUGAGACCUCCUGUAAUGUCGCAAGGUGGCCACUACUGAUCUUACUUCAUCCAGUCUAAUAGGUUUGGAGAUUAAACCUUUUCUCAACUUGUGCUGUUUAUAUAGCCAAGCUUCCGUCAAUAAGGCUUCAUUGUGACUUUAACAAACAUUAUCUUCCCACAUACCAGGAACUAUUGGACAUUUAUUUUACAUGGGAAAAAUUAUUUGGAAUAAUAAAGCAGGAACUUUUCCUGAAGUUGCAAUUUAUACUGUAUGGCUUCUUUUUCAUGUUUCAUCUAGGUUUUUAGAAGUGAAGUAUAGUAAUUUGGUUCGUUAAAUUGUGAAGGCGCUGGAAUUACAUGAACAUACCACCUUAAUAAAGGCAAGUUCUGUAAGCUUACAUUGCUAUUUGUAAAGUUAUGCCUUCACAGCAUUUCAGAUGCUGUUGGACUUCAUGUCCCCAACCUAGCUUGGUGAGGGCUGUAACUGUUUCCAAGUACCUGUACAUUGGAAGUCUGAAUGUGUAACAAUAUUUAAUGUAUUUAGAGUUCCUCAUGUUGCAGGGUUAAAGAAAUCUGACCCAUCAAGGUCAUGUGAAUUUCUGUACUGUUAAACUUCAUUGUAAUAAAAUGAGAGAAAAAUUUAUGCCUUUUUAUUCAUAACCCAGCUGUGGACCACUGCCUGAAAGGUUUGUACAGAUGCAUGCCACAGUAGAUGUCCACAUAAUAAAAUUCAUAGUUACCAAUA